GAUCACCUCCUUUUGAGCAAAGACAGCAUCGUCCUGUCGGGCGUCUUCACAAAGUACCUGCAUUCAGAGAAUCACGUCGGCCAGGCCGAUGUGAGAGUCCCUUUUGGGGCCUUAGCUCAGCUGGGAGAGCACCUGCUUUGCAAGCAGGGGGUCGUCGGUUCGAUCCCGACAGGCUCCACCAUGUUUGAGUUUGUUCCGGAAAGUUUUUCCGGGUCUGUAGCUCAGGUGGUUAGAGCGCACCCCUGAUAAGGGUGAGGUCGGUAGUUCGAGUCUACCCAGACCCACCAUUCUCUGAAUGACGCAUACAUUCGAUCUUUAUACGCAUCAGCACUGUGGCUGGUACGUGUUCUUUUAAAACUUGUGACGUAGCGAGCGUUUGAGAUGUUCUAUCAGACGUGUCGUGAGGGUAAGGCGAGAGACAUAAGUGUCGUUAAAAAGGUAGUCAUAAGAAGGUGUCCCGGCGGUGAU
rnacentral:tRNA from 1 species